rnacentral:rRNA from 1 species
GGUUAAGCGACUAAGCGUACACGGUGGAUGCCCUGGCAGUCAGAGGCGAUGAAGGACGUGCUAAUCUGCGAUAAGCGUCGGUGAGGUGAUAUGAACCGUUAUAACCGGCGAUUUCCGAAUGGGGAAACCCAGUGUGUUUCGACACACUAUCAUUAACUGAAUCCAUAGGUUAAUGAGGCGAACCGGGGGAACUGAAACAUCUAAGUACCCCGAGGAAAAGAAAUCAACCGAGAUUCCCCCAGUAGCGGCGAGCGAACGGGGAGGAGCCCAGAGCCUGAAUCAGUGUGUGUGUUAGUGGAAGCGUCUGGAAAGGCGCGCGAUACAGGGUGACAGCCCCGUACACAAAAAUGCACAUACUGUGAGCUCGAUGAGUAGGGCGGGACACGUGGUAUCCUGUCUGAAUAUGGGGGGACCAUCCUCCAAGGCUAAAUACUCCUGACUGACCGAUAGUGAACCAGUACCGUGAGGGAAAGGCGAAAAGAACCCCGGCGAGGGGAGUGAAAAAGAACCUGAAACCGUGUACGUACAAGCAGUGGGAGCCUCUUAAUGGGGUGACUGCGUACCUUUUGUAUAAUGGGUCAGCGACUUAUAUUCUGUAGCAAGGUUAACCGAAUAGGGGAGCCGAAGGGAAACCGAGUCUUAACUGGGCGUUAAGUUGCAGGGUAUAGACCCGAAACCCGGUGAUCUAGCCAUGGGCAGGUUGAAGGUUGGGUAACACUAACUGGAGGACCGAACCGACUAAUGUUGAAAAAUUAGCGGAUGACUUGUGGCUGGGGGUGAAAGGCCAAUCAAACCGGGAGAUAGCUGGUUCUCCCCGAAAGCUAUUUAGGUAGCGCCUCGUGAAUUCAUCUCCGGGGGUAGAGCACUGUUUCGGCAAGGGGGUCAUCCCGACUUACCAACCCGAUGCAAACUGCGAAUACCGGAGAAUGUUAUCACGGGAGACACACGGCGGGUGCUAACGUCCGUCGUGAAGAGGGAAACAACCCAGACCGCCAGCUAAGGUCCCAAAGUCAUGGUUAAGUGGGAAACGAUGUGGGAAGGCCCAGACAGCCAGGAUGUUGGCUUAGAAGCAGCCAUCAUUUAAAGAAAGCGUAAUAGCUCACUGGUCGAGUCGGCCUGCGCGGAAGAUGUAACGGGGCUAAACCAUGCACCGAAGCUGCGGCAGCGACACUAUGUGUUGUUGGGUAGGGGAGCGUUCUGUAAGCCUGUGAAGGUGUACUGUGAGGUAUGCUGGAGGUAUCAGAAGUGCGAAUGCUGACAUAAGUAACGAUAAAGCGGGUGAAAAGCCCGCUCGCCGGAAGACCAAGGGUUCCUGUCCAACGUUAAUCGGGGCAGGGUGAGUCGACCCCUAAGGCGAGGCCGAAAGGCGUAGUCGAUGGGAAACAGGUUAAUAUUCCUGUACUUGGUGUUACUGCGAAGGGGGGACGGAGAAGGCUAUGUUGGCCGGGCGACGGUUGUCCCGGUUUAAGCGUGUAGGCUGGUUUUCCAGGCAAAUCCGGAAAAUCAAGGCUGAGGCGUGAUGACGAGGCACUACGGUGCUGAAGCGACAAAUGCCCUGCUUCCAGGAAAAG